ensembl:snRNA U6 U6 spliceosomal RNA
GUGCUCGCUUCAGCAGCACAUAUAGUAAAAUUGGGAAGAUACAGAGAGGAAGAGCAUGGCCCCUGCGCAAGGAUGACACGCGAAUUCAUGAAGCGUUCCGUAUUUAA